rnacentral:rRNA from 1 species
GAAAGUAUGCAAGGGCGUACGGGGGAUGCCUAGGCUUAUGGAGGCGAUGAAGGACGUGUUAAGCUGCGAAAAGCGCCGGGGAUCUGCAAAAAAGAAUCGAUCCGGCGAUAUCCGAAUGGGGCAACCCGUCAGUCUGAAGGACUGUCGUUCCGAGUAAUCGGAGAGCCAACCCGCUGAACUGAAACAUCUAAGUAGGCGGAGGAAAAGAAAGAAAACUCGAUUCCCUUAGUAGCGGCGAGCGAAGAGGGAAUAGCCCAAACCAUGUAUGUUACGGCAUAUAUGGGGUUGUAGGACCACGACAUGACUUGGACGACGAACUGGAAGGUACUGGAAAGUGCCACCAUAGAGGGUGAAAGUCCCGUACAGGUAAGUUAGUUCAACGAUAGUGGUAUCCUGAGUAGGGCGGGACACGUGAAAUCCUGUCUGAAUCCGCGGGGACCACCCCGCAAGGCUAAAUACUCCCAUAAGACCGAUAGUGAACCAGUACCGUGAGGGAAAGGUGAAAAGUACCCCGAACAGGGGGGUGAAAAAGAACCUGAAACCGUACGCCUACAACCUGUCGGAGCCCCUUCGUGGGGUGACGGCGUGCCUUUUGCAUAAUGAGCCUACGAGUUACUCAUGACCGGCGAGGUUAAGAUUCCGAAGGAUCGAAGCCGAAGCGAAAGCGAGUCUGAACAGGGCGCUAUAGUCGGUUGUGGUAGACGCGAAACCUUGCGAUCUACCCUUGGCCAGGAUGAAGGUGAGGUAGAACUCACUGGAGGUCCGCACCGGUAAACGUUGAAAAGUUUUCGGAUGAGCUGAGGGUAGGGGUGAAAGGCUAAUCAAGCUGGGAAAUAGCUCGUACUCCCCGAAAUGCCUUUAGGGGCAGCGUUGACGUAGUAUACUGGAGGUAGAGCUACUGAUUGGAUGCGGGGGCUUCACCGCCUACCAAAUCCUGACAAACUCCGAAUGCCAGUUAUAUGAUCGUCAGCAGUGAGCCGCCGGGUGCUAAUGUCCGGUGACAAAAGAGGAACAACUCAGACCAACAGCUAAGGCCCCCAAACAUACGCUAAGUUGAAUGAACGAUGUGCGACUGCAGCGACAGCUAGGAUGUUAGCUUGGAAGCAGCUAUUCAUUUAAAGAGUGCGUAACAGCUCACUAGUCGAGCGGUUGUGCGUGGAUAAUAAACGGGCAUCAAGCGUAUUGCCGAAGCUUUGGACUCCGCAAAGGAGUGGUAGGGGAGCAUUCUGCCGGCGUCGAAGCGGAUUCGUAAGGAUCCGUGGAGCUUGCAGAAAAGCAAAUGUAGGCAUAAGUAACGAUAAGGCAGGCGAGAAACCUGCCCGCCGCAAGACCAAGGUUUCCUGAUCAACGUUAAUCGGAUCAGGGUUAGUCGGGCCCUAAGGGCCAGCCGAAAGGCGAUGCUCGAUGGACAAUCGGUUAAUAUUCCGAUACCCUCUUAAUUGGCGAUGGAGAGACGAAGGAGCGUAAGAUCCGCCUACUGACGGAAUAGUAGGUUGAAGGCCGUAGGUAUAGAGUGAGGUUAAUAGCUUCACUUUGCUGAGAGCCGACAGUACAGAGACCCUUCGGGGAAUUUGAUAGCGAUCCCAAGCAUGCUUCCGAGAAAAUCUUCUAAGCAUAACAGUUAAGAGGCCCGUACCGUAAACCGACACAGGUGGUCGAGGAGAGUAUCCUCAGGCGCUCGAGUGAGUCACGGUUAAGGAACUAGGCAAAAUGACCCCGUAACUUCGGGAGAAGGGGUCCUCGCAGCGAUGCGAGGCGCAGCGAAAAGGUCCAGGCGACUGUUUAACAAAAACACAGGGCUAUGCAAAUUCGAAAGACGACGUAUAUGGCCUGACACCUGCCCGGUGCCGGAAGGUUAAGAGGGGAUGUCAUUCGCAAGAAGAAGCAUUGAAUCGAAGCCCCGGUAAACGGCGGCCGUAACUAUAACGGUCCUAAGGUAGCGAAAUUCCUUGUCGGGUAAGUUCCGACCUGCACGAAUGGUGUAACGAUCUGGACACUGUCUCAACCGUGAGCUCGGUGAAAUUGUAGUCCCGGUGAAGAUGCCGGGUACCCGCAACGGGACGAAAAGACCCCGUGAACCUUUACUGCAGCUUAACGCUGGAUUUGGGUACAAGAUGUGUAGGAUAGGCAGGAGACUAUGAAGAUGUGUCGCCAGGCAUGUUGGAGUCGCCGUUGAAAUACUGCCCUUUUUGUGCUCGGGUCCUAACCCGUGAAAGGGGACACCGUUUGGUGGGUAGUUUGACUGGGGUGGUCGCCUCCAAAAGCGUAACGGAGGCUUCCCAAGGUACCCUCAAUACGGAUGGUAAUCGUAUGCAGAGUGCAAUGGCACAAGGGUGCUUGACUGCGAGACCGACGGGUCGAACAGGUGCGAAAGCAGGGCAUAGUGAUCCGGUGGUUCCGAGUGGAAGGGCCAUCGCUCAAAGGAUAAAAGGUACUCCGGGGAUAACAGGCUGAUCGCUCCCAAGAGCUCAUAUCGACGGAGCGGUUUGGCACCUCGAUGUCGGCUCGUCACAUCCUGGGGCUGGAGAAGGUCCCAAGGGUUCGGCUGUUCGCCGAUUAAAGUGGCACGCGAGCUGGGUUCAGAACGUCGUGAGACAGUUCGGUCCCUAUCUGUUGCGGGCGCAGGAGAUUUGAGGGGUUCUGACCUUAGUACGAGAGGACCGGGUUGGACUGACCUCUGGUUUACCGGUUAUGCCGCCAGGUGUAUCGCCGGGUAUCCAAGUCGGGACGGGAUAAGCGCUGAAAGCAUCUAAGCGCGAAGCCCACCCCAAGAUGAGAUCUCCCUUGAGGGUCGUAGAAGACGACUACGUUGAUAGGCUACAGGUGUAUAGGCAGCGAUGUCACAGCCGAGUAGUACUAAUCGCCCGAACGACUUUCUUGU